rnacentral:rRNA from 1 species
AGUGAACGCUGGCGGUGUGCUUAACACAUGCAAGUCGAACGAGAACGGAUUAUAGCUUGCUAUAAUUGUCAGCUAAGUGGCGCACGGGUGAGUAAUGUAUAGGUAAUAUGCCUCUUACUAAGGGAUAACAAAUGGAAACGUUUGCUAAUACCUUAUACUCCUUAUUAACAUAAGUUAAUAAGGGAAAGAUUUAUUGGUAAGAGAUUAGCCUGUAUUGUAUCAGUUAGUUGGUGGGGUAAUGGCUUACCAGGACUAUGACACAUAACUGGUUUGAGAGGAUGAUCAGUCACACUGGAACUGAGACACGGUCCAGACUCCUACGGGAGGCAGCAGUGGGGAAUAUUGCACAAUGGACGGAAGUCUGAUGCAGCAACGCCGCGUGGAGGAUGACACAUUUCGGUGCGUAAACUCCUUUUAUAUGAGAAGAUAAUGACGGUAUUAUAUGAAUAAGCACCGGCUAACUCCGUGCCAGCCGCCGCGGUAA